rnacentral:lncRNA from 1 species
CAUGCUCAGUGUAAAUUCUCCUGGAGCCUGUCAAGCUAUGUUUGAACUCGUUCCAGGAUAGUGGAUUUACUUUUUUUUCCCCACCAGGAAGAAUACUCGAUUAGACUGCAUUUUGCCUUGCUUUUCCUUCUCCCUUUCUCUCUCUUUCUUUCUUUCUUUCUUUCUUUCUUUCUUUCUUUCUUUCUUUCUUUCUUUCUUUCUUUCUUUCUUUCUUUUUCUUUCUCUCUCUCUCUCUCUUUCUUUCUUUCCUUUCUUUUCUUUCUUUCCUCUUUCUCUUUCCUUCUUUCUUUUUUUCUUCUUUCUUUCCUUCCUUCCUUCCAUCUUUCUUUUCUUUCUUUCCAUUUUUUUUUUCCUCCAGAAGAAUGGAAACAGUAUUCUUUUCCGAUCAGUUCAGUAAUACAAUGUCCUUCAGUGUCCAUAUGAGCAUUUCAGUGGAGAAGAAAAGAAACUUUGCUACCUGGGAACUGAAGACUACUUAGUGAAGAUCCCGGUGUUACACAUCCAAUCGUUCACCUCCUUCCAAGACUAUGACAUUCCAGGAAACCUUCACUGCUAAGAGGAACUAAGAUCUAGAGUAUCUCCUCGAGGAAGUACAACUGGAUUCUCCCUCCUUGGUUCUUCCCUGGACCAAGGACAGAAGAAUCAUUCAACACAGAGGCUAUUGACAAAAGGGGCAUAUUUGGUGCAAACAGGGGUAAUUAAUAAGAAGUCCAGUGGCUCACACCUGCGAUCCCAGCACUUUGGGAGGCUGAGAUGGGCAGAUUGCUCGAGCCCAGGAAUUCAAGACCAACCUGGGCAACAUGGCAAAACCCCAUCUCUACAAAAAUACAAAAAUUAACCAGAUGUGAUGGUUCAUGCCUGUAGUCCCAGCUACUCUGGAGGCUGAUGUGGGAGGAUCGCUUGAGCCUAGGAAGUCAAGGCUGCAGUGAGUCAUGAUUGCUCCGCUCCACUGCACUCUGGCCUUGAUGAUAGAGUGAGAACCAGUCUCAAAAAAAAAAAGGUCAUUUUCUAAGCAUUUGUUGAUUCAAUACUGCCCACUAUGUACACUGACAAUUAGACAUAAUUUAAUUUCAGCUCAUGGUAUGAAUGGAGACAAAAUGAAAUCAUUUUAAUGCACAUUAAGGCAAUAUAGUGCCCUUAAAUAAAAAGUUGAAGUUCAUAAGGGACCAUCAUUAAGAUUUAACUUUGUAACAAAUAUUUUGUUUUUGUUUGUUUUAUUUUUAGAUUUGCAUAAUAAAACAUUCAUAUUCUUACCCA